AACGGGCACAGAGGCUCGGUUUGAGAUGAGAAGGUUCUGGGGAGGAUGGUGUUGGGGCUGGUCGUUAAUGCCACUGAAGAAUGGUCAACACCGAGAGGAAGCCGGGACAGCAAACGCAGGGCUCCCAUCCCGUGUGCCAGGCCAGCUCUUCCCGCAGGGGUAACCUCCCGUGGGUUACUCCUGAGGGAUCGUGUGCGGCCACCUGUGAGCCGUGGGUCCCGACUCCACCCAAACGUGUUCCUCCGCGCCCUGGCCCCAGCCCCAGCCCCCACAUUAGUCACUCGCACAAUCCGUGUCGGCGAGGCUCCCCAGGAAGCUGACGAUAGUGAUCUAAAAACUGAAACAACGCCUUCACGCUGUGGUCCCGGAUUUCAGUGGCUUCUUGGUUUUGUCUGUCCCCAACGUUGAUGACCGGCCUCCUCGGUCGCAUUUCCUUCUGCAGCCAGUGAAGCCGCCUUCGGAGUCUCUAACUCCCAUCGGUAACUGUUACCUCGAGGAACUGAGGGCGCCCAGCUCCACACCUCGAGGGAGCUCCUGCCCCCCCCCCCCCCCCCCCCCCGGAAUCAGAGGCUUCUCGCCCCCACCCGUUCUCCCUGGAUCUUCCCAAACCACGUUUCUGACUCAGGGCUGUUCUGGCAAAUCCCACUUCACCCACACCAGCUGUCAUGAAAACCGCAAGCCCUAACGCCUUUAUUUACAACAGUUUUAGGGGGCCCCUGGGGGGCUCAGUCAGUUAGGCGUCCGACUUCUGCUCAGGUCGUGAUCUCGCGGUCGGUGAGUUCGAGCCCCGCGUCGGCCUCUGUGCUGACAGCUCAGAGCCAGGAGCCUGCUUCAGAGUCUGUGUCUCUCUCUCUCUCUCUCUGCCCCUCCCCUGCUCAUGCUCUGUCUCUAUCUCUCCCUCUGUCUCUCUCAAAAGUAAAUAAGCAUUAAAAUUUUUAAAUAAAUAAAAUAAAACAAGGGUUUUAGGAGUUUUGUGCCAGCAACUGGGGGUAUAUAUAGUUCACACCGUCUUUGCCAUCAGACUGGUAGAAAUUUAAUUUUUUGUAACGUUUAUUCAUUUUUGAGAGACAGAGUGCGAGUGGGGGAGGAGCAGAGAGAGGAGACACAGAAUCCGAAGCAGGCUCCAGGCCCCCCCGACGCAGGGCUCGAACUCACGAACCCGCGAGAUCACAACCCGAGCCGAAGGGGGACGCCCAACUGACUGAGCCCCCCAGGGGUCCCCCCGACUGGCAGAAAUUUAAAAGUCUGAUGAUGUCAAGUUGCAGCCAGGUGUGAGCCAGGUGAAAUUCAUCAUGGGAUCCAAUCUUCACAUAAAAAAACUCUAUGGUAGACGCAAUGGUCCUCCACCAACCUUCAAGGCUGAGUCUUAAGAAGGUUUGCAGCUUCCGCCCAGGCCUCUGGGAACCUGGUGUCGGGGAAGCCAGCUGCCGUGUCGAAGUCUGAGAGAGCCAUACUGUGAGGACAUCCACGCAGGCCGCAGACAGAGGGUGGCUGAAACACAGGCAGAGGGUGACAGAAACGCUGUCCGGCCCCGGUGGAUCCGGGGGUCCAGCCAUCCGGCCCGGGCGCCAGAUGUGGGAACGAAGAGGCCUUCUGAUGACCCCAGCCCCGGCCACUAUGUACUCAGGAGACCCCCACCCACGUGUCCACGGAGGUCUGUGUACAAGGAUGUGCAUUAGCAGGUUGUUUAUAACACGGAAAAAGCGCCAAGAGACGAAGUCCUUCACUGAUGGGAGAGAAAUAAAUCGGGACAUAAACAUUGGAUGAAAUACCAUACGGCUGUUAACAAACUAAAUCCAAACGCAACAUCAGGGAUAAAUCUCAUAAACAUUCUGGAAAACAGCUGCCUGGAGUUUUGUGGGUUUUUUUUUUUUUUUUAGAUUUUUUUUUUUUUAUUUGUAACUAAUCUCUACUGUCAUCGUGGGGCUCAAACUCACAAUUCCAAGAUCAAGAAUCGCGUGCUCAGGGGGAUGGGCUCACUGGGGGAGGGGGAUUAAGGAGGGCACUUGUCAUACACUAUACGUUAACUAACUAGAAUUUAAAUUUUUUGGAGGAAAAAAAAAAGUCACAGGCUCUACUCACUGGGCUAGCCAGGCGCCCCCAGCAAGCGGGUUACUUUAGACUAAAGGACACCUGAGAAAAGACAGCUAAAUGCCCUAUGUGAUCCUUGAUUUCAUCCUGGAUCAAAGAAAACAUCAUCUAACCGGGGCAUUACUGGGAACAUUCGAACAUGAGCUGUAUAUUGGGUAAGAUUCCUUAAUCUGUUUUAUCACUGUUCAAUUCGUCACUGGUGAUAAUGGUCCGUGUUACGGAGGCGAAUGUCUGCGUCCUCAGGAGAUGCAGACCAAACCGAGGUCGCCAGUGGUUCAGCAAAAUGUGUGCCGGGCAAGCCUUGUGUAAGAGAGAGAGGAAGCGUACGUGGCAAAUGUCCACAAUUGUGAGCCUACAAGGAGCGCGUUCAUUGCGUUAUCCCUGCAACUUGGCUUCGGUUUGAAAAUUGUC